GGGCAGUGGCGGCAGCAUUACACAUGCAGUCGAACGAUGAACUCCAGCUUGCUGGGGGGAUUAGUGGCGAACGGGUGAGUAACACGUGAGUAACCUGCCCUUGACUCUGGGAUAAGCGUUGGAAACGACGUCUAAUACCGGAUAUGAGCUGUGGCCGCAUGGUCUAUAGCUGGAAAGAAUUUUGGUCAAGGAUGGACUCGCGGCCUAUCAGGUAGUUGGUGAGGUAAUGGCUCACCAAGCCUACGACGGGUAGCCGGCCUGAGAGGGUGACCGGCCACACUGGGACUGAGACACGGCCCAGACUCCUACGGGAGGCAGCAGUGGGGAAUAUUGCACAAUGGGCGAAAGCCUGAUGCAGCAACGCCGCGUGAGGGAUGACGGCCUUCGGGUUGUAAACCUCUUUUAGUAGGGAAGAAGGGAGCUUGCUCUUGACGGUACCUGCAGAAAAAGCACCGGCUAACUACGUGCCAGCAGCCGCGGUAAUACGUAGGGUGCAAGCGUUGUCCGGAAUUAUUGGGCGUAAAGAGCUCGUAGGCGGUUUGUCGCGUCUGCUGUGAAAUCUGGGGGCUCAACCCCCAGCCUGCAGUGGGUACGGGCAAACUAGAGUGCGGUAGGGGAGAUUGGAAUUCCUGGUGUAGCGGUGGAAUGCGCAGAUAUCAGGAGGAACACCGAUGGCGAAGGCAGAUCUCUGGGCCGUUACUGACGCUGAGGAGCGAAAGCAUGGGGAGCGAACAGGAUUAGAUACCCUGGUAGUCCAUGCCGUAAACGUUGGGAACUAGAUGUAGGGGCCAUUCCACGGUUUCUGUGUCGCAGCUAACGCAUUAAGUUCCCCGCCUGGGGAGUACGGCCGCAAGGCUAAAACUCAAAGGAAUUGACGGGGGCCCGCACAAGCGGCGGAGCAUGCGGAUUAAUUCGAUGCAACGCGAAGAACCUUACCAAGGCUUGACAUAUACCGGAAACGUCCCAGAGAUGGUCGCCCCGCAAGGUCGGUAUACAGGUGGUGCAUGGUUGUCGUCAGCUCGUGUCGUGAGAUGUU
rnacentral:rRNA from 1 species